rnacentral:rRNA from 1 species
GUGGGGAAUAUUGGACAAUGGGCGAAAGCCUGAUGGAGCAACGCCGCGUGAAGGAUGAAGGUCUUCGGAUUGUAAACUUCUUUUAUGAGUGAAGAAUAUGACGGUAACUCAUGAAUAAGCACCGGCUAACUACGUGCCAGCAGUCGCGGUCAUACGUAGGGUGCAAGCAUUAUCCGGAGUGACUGGGCGUAAAGAGUUGCGUAGGCGGCUUAUUAAGCGAGUAGUGAAAUCUGGUGGCUCAACCACACAGACUAUUAUUCGAACUGCAUAACUCGAGAAUGGUAGAGGUAACUGGAAUUUCUUGUGUAGGAGUGAAAUCCGUAGAUAUAAGAAGGAACACCAAUGGCGUAGGCAGGUUACUGGGCCAUUUCUGACGCUAAGGCACGAAAGCGUGGGGAGCGAACCGGAUUAGAAACCCCUGUAGUCC